rnacentral:tRNA from 1 species
GCCGUCGUGGCCCAGUGGCACAAGGGUGUGACUGUUACUCGACGAUUGUGGGUUCGAUCCCCGCUCGAGGGAA